rnacentral:rRNA from 1 species
AUACGUAGGUGACAAGCGUUAUCCGGAUUUACUGGGCGUAAAGGGCGUGUAGGCGGUCUUGCAAGUCAGAAGUGAAAUUCCUGAGCUCAACUCGGGCGCUGCUUCUGAAACUGCAGGACUUGAGUGCUGGAGGGGAUAGCGGAAUUCCUAGUGGAGCGGUAAAAUGCGCAGAUAUUAGGAAGAACACCGGUGGCGAAGGCGGCAAUGGGGUCAUGAACUGAGGCUGAGACGCGAAAGCGUGGGGAGCAAACAGGAUUAGAUACCCUAGUAGUCCACGCCGUAAACGAUGAAUACUAGGUGUAGGGGGUAUCGACUCCCUCUGUGCCGCAGUUAACACAAUAAGUAUUCCGCCUGGGGAGUACGGCCGCAAGGUUGAAACUCAAAUGAAUUGACGGUG